rnacentral:rRNA from 1 species
AGAUUGAACGCUGGCGGCAGGCCUAACACAUGCAAGUCGAGCGGUAGAGAGGUGCUUGCAUCUCUUGAGAGCGGCGGACGGGUGAGUAAUGCCUAGGAAUCUGCCUAGUGGUGGGGGAUAACGUUCGGAAACGGACGCUAAUACCGCAUACGUCCUACGGGAGAAAGCGGGGGACCUUCGGGCCUCGCGCCAUUAGAUGAGCCUAGGUCGGAUUAGCUAGUUGGUGAGGUAAUGGCUCACCAAGGCGACGAUCCGUAACUGGUCUGAGAGGAUGAUCAGUCACACUGGAACUGAGACACGGUCCAGACUCCUACGGGAGCAGCAGUGGGGGAAUAUUAGGACAAAGUGGGCGAAAAGCCUGAUCCAGCCAUG